AGAAUCAACGCUGGCGGCGUGCCUAACACAUGCAAGUCGAACGAGAAAGUGGAGCAAUCCAUGAGUAAAGUGGCGACCGGGUGAGUAACACGUGACUAACCUACCUUCAAGUGGGGGAUAACCUCGGGAAACCGGGGCUAAUACCGCAUAACAUCUUUGGAGUGGAAAUUCUGGAGAUCAAAGGAGCAAUUCGCUGGAAGAGGGGGUCGCGGCUGAUUAGCUAGUUGGCGGGGUAAUGGCCCACCAAGGCUUUGAUCGGUAGCCGGCCUGAGAGGGCGCACGGCCACACUGGAACUGAAACACGGUCCAGACUCCUACGGAGGCAGCAGUGGGGAAUCUUGCGCAAUGGGCGAAAGCCUGACGCAGCAACGCCGCGUGGAGGACGAAUGCUUUCUGAGUUGUAAACUCCUUUCAGCAGGGACGAUUGGUGACGGUACCUGCAGAAGAGCACCGGCCAACUACGUGCCAGCAGCCGCGGU
rnacentral:rRNA from 1 species